rnacentral:miRNA from 1 species
CUCCAGAUGUUGCUGAACUACAACUCCCAUGAUUCUUUGAAUUACAUAUAUCGCCAGAAAAUCAUGGGAGUUGUAGUUCAGCAACAUCUGGAG